rnacentral:piRNA from 1 species
UUGGGUCUUGGAAGUCGUCGUUAUC